rnacentral:ncRNA from 1 species
UCGACGGGCCGUGACUGGCGCGCUGGGAUGGGACCGACCAUCGGGGAGCGGCCCGGAGUCGAAUGAUCGUGUGCCGUGCGCCUGGGCCGAACCG